rnacentral:rRNA from 1 species
UACGUAGGUGGCAAGCGUUGUUCGGAAUCACUGGGCAUAAAGCGCACGUAGGCGGUCUGUUAAGUCAGGUGUGAAAGCCCCCGGCUCAACCGGGGAAUUGCAUUUGAUACUGGCAGGCUCGAGAACGGUAGGGGUGAGUGGAACUCCAGGUGGAGCGGUGAAAUGCGUAGAUAUCUGGAGGAACACCGGUGGCGAAAGCGGCUCACUGGACCGUCACUGACGCUGAGGUGCGAAAGCUAGGGUAGCAAACGGG